rnacentral:rRNA from 1 species
UACGAAGGGGGCUAGCGUUGUUCGGAUUACUGGGCGUAAAGCGUGCGCAGGCGGUUGUGUAAGACAGAUGGUGAAAUCCCCGGGCUCAACCUGGGAACUGCAUUUGUGACUGCACAGCUGGAGUGCGGCAGAGGGGGAUGGAAUUCCGGCGUGUAGCAGUGAAAUGCGUAGAUAUGCGGAGGAACACCGAUGGCGAAGGCAAUCCCCUGGGCCUGCACUGACGCUCAUGCACGAAAGCGUGGGAGCGAAACAGG